rnacentral:rRNA from 1 species
GACGAACGCUGGCGGCGUGCUUAACACAUGCAAGUCGAACGGAAAGGCCCUGCUUUUGUGGGGUGCUCGAGUGGCGAACGGGCGAGUAACACGUGAGUAACCUGCCCUUGACUUUGGGAUAACUUCAGGAAACUGGGGCUAAUACCGGAUAGGAGCUCCUGCCGCAUGGUGGGGGUUGGAAAGUUUCGGCGGUUGGGGAUGGACUCGCGGCUUAUCAGCUUGUUGGUGGGGUAGUGGCUUACCAAGGCUUUGACGGGUAGCCGGCCUGAGAGGGUGACCGGCCACAUUGGGACUGAGAUACGGCCCAGACUCCUACGGGAGGCAGCAGUGGGGAAUAUUGCACAAUGGGCGGAAGCCUGAUGCAGCAACGCCGCGUGCGGGAUGACGGCCUUCGGGUUGUAAACCGCUUUCGCCUGUGACGAAGCGUGAGUGACGGUAAUGGGUAAAGAAGCACCGGCUAACUACGUG